rnacentral:lncRNA from 1 species
UUUAGUACAAAACACGCUCCAAAUUGAAAACACAGGAAAGAACCCAAAUUAAAAACCAACCCUACCAUUAUCCUCAGAACUCCCGAACGGCAAUGAAGAUGCAGACCAUCUCUGUUCCUCUAAUAUUACUGCUCUUUCGCGUGAGCACUCGGAACAAGAGGCCUUCCACUUGGGCCUUCCAAACGGCUACUUGACCGGAGAGUCUCGUAUCGAGCGGGGAAGAAAUUGGACCAGCCCAAACUCAUUGUGGAUUCCAUGGUCGACAACUUCGAGUUACCCUUCCGUAUGCUUUGCUAAAAGUAUGGCACCCAAGCUGCGUACACUCCCAUGCUUCAUUCAAGAAUCUUCCCUGAAACUGAAAAGUAUCGCUCCCAAGAAUUCACACCUGCAUGGUAUGGUAUUGACAUUCUAAUGGAUUUUAGGUAUUAGACUCGAUUUUGUUAAGUUUGUUUAGAUUGAUGUGGUGGUAAAUGGCAGGAGGAUAGGCCUAUAUUUCUGCAAUUCUAAGCGAAUGAUCCAGAUGUUUUGUUGGAGGCAGCAAGGAGAGUGGAAUCUUACUUUGAUUAUGUUGACACUAAUUUUUGGUAAUUGUUUAUCGAAUUUCCCCCAUUCAAUAGUGAAUUAUGUAUGAUAGUCUGUACAUUGCUUGAUACAUGGUAGGAAAAUAGUUUGUUUCUUAAUUUUGCCAAUUGCUAAUUAUGAUUCCAGAAGCUAAAAUAUAUUUGUGCAUUUUAUCUUGAAGUUCGAGGUGCUCUUGGUUACACUUGAAUGCCUUAAGCUAAUUUGACUUUGUUGUGUUUUGCCCGUGGAUAGUGAUUUUGAUAAUCUUGUAAGAGUUAUCACCUAUACAAUGGUGGAUCCAGGAAUUUUGUACACGCGGGCUAAAAUUUAAAAGUCGAUAUAAUAAAUUAAUACAUUAUAUUAAAGUCAACUUCAUUUAAUUUGAAGCUGUUCCCGACGAGGUUUUGAAAUAUAAAAUUCGUCUAUCACAAAAUCUAUAUCUAUCUUUUGAGCAAGUUCUUGUUCGAUUAAAAGUGUCAUACAAUCAGCAAGAAACUCAUCCUCCAUUUUGUUACGAAGAUCUGUCUUCACAUGUUUUAUUGUCGAAAAUGCUCGCCAGUAGUCGCGAUAGAAACAGGUAAAGUAAGUACAAAACGAAUCAAUCUAGUAACCAUAAUAUAAAUCUCCGAUCUUCUACUCUCAGUUAACUGUCGACAUAACUCAGCAAGUGUAGAUACUUGAAAUCGAGAUUUGGGAGAUAGUACUUGAAUGGUGUUUUUCUCUUACAUAGUAUUUGGGAAAUCUUAAAACUAAAAUGACCGAAGCUAGUUCGGUGCAAAUUGUUUUAUCCUGGACUCCUAGUUUUAUAACUAAUCUAGCUUUCUUUGGCUAUAAUUUGACCUAAAUUGGGAUAAAAGUUAUCUAGCUUUGUGAAACUUUUUGGUUAGGUUCAAACUCUUACACUGCCAUUUUAGAGAACUCAUCUAUGUAUUUGAAGUGAGGGAUUGAAGAGGAAUUGAAGUGAGGACUGAGUGUGAAGAGUGGAGAAGUGGCUUUUAUAGGGGUGGGGCGUGUGGUUGGGUUCAUGCAUUUGCAGAGGUGGUUGGUUAAGGCUGAUGGAUGAGGAUUUUUAAAUGGAGCUGGUGGUGACUGCUGAUACUGAAUAUUUUGGUUGACUUGGACAAAAUAUAUGAUUGGAUGGGCACGGGUACUAAUAUCAGUAAGAAUUAGUGAUUUAAGCCUUCCACUAGCAAGCGGACUAGACAAAUGGUUGGAUAAGAAUUAGUGAUUUAAGCCUUCAAUUUUCACUUUGCAUGUUCCUUUUUAUAAGUAGAGACACUUAUCUCUAAGUUUUUUCAUAGAAAAAUAAAUCAAUAUUAACCAGUUACUUUAGUAUAUUAUUUUGGCCUUUUUCCUGCUGCCUCAUUUCUCUCCUGCAUAUUGGCUUAGGGCCUUGGCCAUCUUAGGGGUGAGUAUAUUUCCUACGGUGACAUCAACACCUGUACGGCUCGAAGGCUCGGUCAUGAGUGUGAGAGAAAGAGAGUUCUCUUUCUCCAGCCCUCUUUUUGACUACCAAAGCUAAGCCCUUCUCAUGCUUGUAAAAUUUGGUGCUUUUCUUAUUCCUGUUCUUUCUUUCAAGCUCUGUUCUUUUCCGGGUUCUUGUAGUUUAUAGGUACGUGGCUUUUAGUUACUAGAUUCUUUUUUUGGGUUAUUUGUACUCUUUUAUUGUGAAUUUGUCUUGGGAAUUGCAUAAUUAUUGUGGGUUUUGUAUCAAGAUUUGAUUUUUGUACAAUGUUACCAUUACUUGAUCUCUGAUUACUCUUCGAAUGUGAAAUUAUUGGAUGCUAUUAUGAAAUUGCUAUCUUUACUUUUUUGGCCAUUGUAACACGCUGCUUGUGAUGCAGUGAAAUGCUGAGCUCUCCUGUGAGACGUAUAGAUGAAAUUCUUGCACUUCCUCAUUCAGCUCGUGAUUUCAAGAGUCAGAUAAGAGAUAAAAGGAGAUAAAACUUUAUGAUUUGAAGCAUAAGAAGAAAAG